rnacentral:rRNA from 1 species
UACGUAGGGUGCAAGCGUUAAUCGGAAUUACUGGGCGUAAAGCGUGCGCAGGCGGCUUUGCAAGACAGAUGUGAAAUCUCCGGGCUUAACUUGGGAAUUGCGCUCGAAACUACGUGGCUCGAGUGUGGCAGAGGAAGGUGGAAUUCCACGUGUAGCGGUGAAAUGCGUAGAGAUGUGGAGGAACACCGAUGGCGAAGGCAGCCUUCUGGGCCAACACUGACGCUCAUGCACGAAAGCGUGGGGAGCAAACAGG